GACGGUGCACUGGAGACACGAUACGUCCCACAGGCAUCCAGACCAGAAGUACACGAACAAACUCAAGUGAGACGCAUGGAGAGACAUUAGUGUUGUCGUCCGUGUUAGUGUUGUACCCUGACUUCAGAAACGCCUCCUCUCACUACGCCAGUUUUCCAAGGCCACAGAGACAACUAGCAGAAUACUGGCCACUGUGUUUCAUUACGUGGACCGAGAUGAUGCUGUGAUGUAGUGGAGUGACUGCCCUGCUGCUACAAACACACUGCAUGUCACCUUCGAUGAUAUUCAGGUGACAGCCAAUGAGUGUUUGUUGGGGCUGCCGUGAUGGCGUGUUGGCGUGAUGGCGUGUUGGCGUGUUGGCAUGUCACGUGAUGAUAAGGAAAGAGGGUGUAAUGGUGAGGGAGAGGAGAUACUACUACUACUACUACUACUACUACUACUACUACUACUACUACUACUACUACUACUACUACUACUACUACUACUACUACUACUACUACUACUACUAGUUCU